rnacentral:tRNA from 1 species
GAGGGUGUGGCUCAGUGGUAGAGCAAUUGCUUGGCAUGCUGCAAGUUCCAGGUUCAAUAUCGGUCAUCUGCA